rnacentral:rRNA from 1 species
CUUGCUUUCUUUGCUGGCGACCGGCGCACGGGUGAGUAACACGUAUCCAACCUGCCCUUUACUCGGGGAUAGCCUUUCGAAAGAAAGAUUAAUACCCGAUAGUAUAAUGAUUCCGCAUGGUUUCAUUAUUAAAGGAUUCCGGUAAAGGAUGGGGAUGCGUUCCAUUAGGUUGUUGGUGAGGUAACGGCUCACCAAGCCUUCGAUGGAUAGGGGUUCUGAGGGGAAGGUCCCCCACAUUGGAACUGAGACACGGUCCAA